rfam:Camelus ferus unplaced genomic scaffold scaffold1490, whole genome shotgun sequence.
GAGGGUAGAGCUCAGUAGUAAAGCUCAUGCUUAGCAGGCACAAAGUCCUGGGUUCAAUCCCCAGUACCUCCA